rnacentral:rRNA from 1 species
AGGUGUCGCACGAGCGCACCCUUAUCUUUAGUUGCCUCAUGUAAAGCUGGGAACUUUAGGGAGACUGCCAGGGACAACUUGGAAGAGGGUGGGGAUGACGUCAAAUCAUCGUGCCCUUUAUGUCCGGGGCUACACACGUGCUACAGUGGUUUGUACAAAGGGAAGCUAACCCGUGAGGGGGAGCAUCCCCCAAAAACCCAGUCCAAGUUCGGAUUGCAUGCUGCAACCCGCCUGCGUAAACUCGGAUUCGCUAGAAAUCGGGAAUCACAACGCCGCGGUGAAUACGUU